rnacentral:lncRNA from 1 species
ACGCAUAAAUAAUAAUCACUGAAAGUCCCUUUAAAGUUAGGUCAGAUCUAAACGAUUAUAUUUAAUUGAGAUAUUAUCUUAUUUAAAAAUAUAUUUUUUUGAAAACAAAUGCAUAAGAUGCAUGAACAUUAUAAAAUAUAAUGAAUGCAUGACAAUAUAAAAAUGCAUGUAAUGAUGAGAUAAAAUGCAAAUCCAAAUGCAUGAUUAAUUUUAGGGUUUGAGAGUUGGUUUUGAGGUUUGGGU